rnacentral:lncRNA from 1 species
CAGAUGAAUGUUCGAACUGUGCAAAAACUAAUGAUAGAUCGGUUGGCAAAGACUACGGAGCGGGAUGCGAGAGCACCGCGGUUCGACUCGUAGCAGCCACAACAUUUUUUUUCAUUUCCAAUACGAAUUGUGCAUGGAUAUGCAUGGGAUUGUGCGGCCGGGUUUGGGCAACAAAGCGCGUGGAUUUCAGGCGACGUGCGGAGAGCGAGCUCGUGUGGGCUGCAAGAGGAGAGCUAGUGCAAAGACGAACUAGGGAGCAAGAGCCUCGACGACUACGAGGGACUUCGGAAUAAGAAGAUCCAUUCUUAAUGCAUGAAACUAGUGAAACGGCAGGUAAAGAAAUGUCAGCUUUGUGGGCACGUGCAACCUCAGCGACUUCUUUUGCCAAGAGGAGUUACAUGUAGAGUGCUUCUUGGUCUAAUUGGAUGAACACAUGAGCCAAAACUUGUGCAGGAUUUAAAUUUCAUAUUAUACAUUAAUACAAUUAAAAGUAGGAAGACUGGUAGAUCUGCUAUCUAUAAGCGGAUAAUAACAUCCAGCGACGUUGGACUACUGUGAUUUGGAGCCAGGCCGGUAGCCAAAAGACACACAACAAACUAACGGGUUUAGAAAAAAAAAAGAAUACAGGUUAAGGUUCACCUAAAUGAAAUGGUUCAACAAACUGGUUAUUACAGCUGUAAAAAAUUCAAAAACAAAGGAAGACGUCAGAACAGAAGAGGAUAUUCGAACGUGAGAGGGAGGACGAAACUACUAUACACAAAUGAAAUAGAAGAUCUAUAAUAACGAUUACUUGCUCCCUAAUGUAACGAGCAACAAAAAUAGACUGAGAUUACUUGCUGCCUAAGAUAUUUUACGAAAUAUCAACAACUAACGAGUAGAUUAAACAAGAGCUUUAAUGCCGGCC